rnacentral:rRNA from 1 species
UACGGAGGGGGCUAGCGUUGUUCGGAAUUACUGGGCGUAAAGCGCACGUAGGCGGCUUUGUAAGUUAGAGGUGAAAGCCCAGGGCUUAACCCUGGAAUUGCCUUUAAGACUGCAUCGCUAGAAUUGUGGAGAGGUGAGUGGAAUUCCCAGUGUAGAGGUGAAAUUCGUAGAUAUUGGGAAGAACACCGGUGGCGAAGGCGGCUCACUGGCUCAUUACUGACGCUCGAGGCGCGAUAGCG